rnacentral:lncRNA from 7 species
GCUUUUCUAAGUAGUUGUCCUUGACCAGUUUUUGGUUGGAGAAGAAAAAAUUAACCAUGUUUUUUUUCACAGAUGAGGGGAAUGCUCCCUGGUGGUGGAUAAGCUAUAUGACAUUGCUUAGAGCCACAUCAGCGUUCAGUAGCCUUCAUCAAAAUAAUGCCAGAAGGGCGACUGGGACCUACCCUGCAGAGAAGGAGCAGAAGCCAUCUACUUAACGCUGCUCUAUUGACCUUCUGCUUUUUGGAAUGCAUAUCUUGCAUGGGAUGCAGAGCUAUGAGGUGUAUCGGCUCUUUCCAGGACAGGCUGGAAGCUCAGAAAACGACUGUCGCAUUCUUGCAUAGCCGCAGACACUGAGUACAAUAAAGGUCGAGCCCAAAUCCUGAUGGGGAACAAAGUUAUAACUCAAACAGCUGGAGUUGAGAAAGGCCACUGGCUCUGCUCCAGAAAGCCUGGCAUAUUCUGGUGUUUGUGGAAUAUCCUCUUGUUACUUACCAGGACACACUGCUGGGCCGAGAGCAAGCUUAUGAUGCCGAGGGAUCUCCUGGGUUUGGCUGGGGCAGAAAUACCUCGUGGUUUCUCUACAUCUGGGGGGAAUUAGUAAGUCCUGGAACACAUGAAGAUUAAUAAUAAGAAUAAAAAGCUUUCCUUCCACCCCCCGUCACCUCCUCCCACUGACACAAUUUAAAGAUUUAAAAUCAGUCUGUACCGCGGCCAGAGAUUGGAGUUAUGAUUGUAAUGUUUCCAUUUAGAACAAGGAAAUUGAAGUAGGGCAAUUAAUCAAUAACAAUAUGGGAAAGUACAAACUGAGACAGUCACUUGAAGCUCGCAUGCUUAGCUGGCUGAGGGGAAUUUUAGGAACUUCUGUCUCUUGCUGCCCUAUAGGUUUUAUAUUACCAACUUCCAAAAACUGAGAGAAGCAGUGCUUUGUGUUUGUGCUGCUUCACCCAAACCCAUUCAUUUGCAGGGAGCGGAUACUUAAUUAUGAAUAAUCCCAAAGUGUUUCCCUGUCUGUUGUACAAACUGUGCACUCAGGCCCGUUUCAUGCAGCCAUGAAAUGCCAUCAUCCCUCAGGUGAAACAAAGCAACUCUUCAGCAGCACAAAGCAAGGCUGCACAGCAAUUUAGGAAAGGAAGUGAAGAAUAAUGGAUUCAUUUGAAACUGCAGGGGGAUUUUAACUAUGCAGAAU